rnacentral:tRNA from 1 species
UCAAGUGUGGUAUAGUGGUAUAGCAUGUUGGACUAGGACCUGGGAGACCAGGGUUCAAAUCCCCACUCAGCCAUGAA